AUCCAGCUGACGAGUUUGAAAUAGAACGAAACGAGCGUCCAAGAC
rnacentral:hammerhead_ribozyme from 1 species